CGAGUUGUUGUACCCGAUUUGUCACGCCCCGGGACCGGCGGAGGCCCUCCCGGUAGCGUGCCCAGACCCGCCAUAUGUCUACACAUAUAAGGCGUCUAGAAUAAAAGCGGAAGUAAAGGCAAGCAGGAGAACAAAUAGAAGAAGUGAAAUAACAAGCAACUAAUGAUAUCAGAGCGAGUAAAGUUCUAACAUCUAUACUAAUAGUAAUAGAGCAUAACUAAAACAUAAAAGUAAACAUAAGUUAUACAGUAUCAGCCUCUAAUACAAAAAUGGUGGUCUCUAGUACACUGGUAAACUCUCGACCUCUCCAAAAUAAAGUACAACGAGAGGUAGACCACCUAGCAAAACGUCCUCGAAGGAAGCUAGCUCGAAGCAACUCCCUUCCCGCGGUCCCUGGCCUCACCCUGAGUGGAAGGCUCUGAAAAACAUCGAGAAAAAGAGGGCGUGAGAACUAUAAUUUAUAGUUCCCAGUGGGCAAUUACUGACCUCAGCUCNN
rnacentral:lncRNA from 1 species